rnacentral:rRNA from 2 species
CCUCAGAAUGGUUGGAAAUCAUUCAUAGAGUGUAAAGGCAUAAGGGAGCUUGACUGCGAGACCUACAAGUCGAGCAGGGUCGAAAGACGGACUUAGUGAUCCGGUGGUUCCGCAUGGAAGGGCCAUCGCUCAACGGAUAAAAGCUACCCCGGGGAUAACAGGCUUAUCUCCCCCAAGAGUUCACAUCGACGGGGAGGUUUGGCACCUCGAUGUCGGCUCAUCGCAUCCUGGGGCUGUAGUCGGUCCCAAGGGUUGGGCUGUUCGCCCAUUAAAGCGGUACGCGAGCUGGGUUCAGAACGUCGUGAGACAGUUCGGUCCCUAUCCGUCGUGGGCGUAGGAAAUUUGAGAGGAGCUGUCCUUAGUACGAGAGGACCGGGAUGGACAUACCUCUGGUGUACCAGUUGUCGUGCCAACGGCAUAGCUGGGUAGCUAUGUGUGGACGGGAUAAGUGCUGAAAGCAUCUAAGCAUGAAGCCCCCCUCAAGAUGAGAUUUCCCAACUUCGGUUAUAAGAUCCCUCAAAGAUGAUGAGGUUAAUAGGUUCGAGGUGGAAGCAUGGUGACAUGUGGAGCUGACGAAUACUAAUCGAUCGAAGACUUAAUCAAAUU